rnacentral:rRNA from 1 species
UACGGAGGAUGCGAGCGUUAUCCGGAUUUAUUGGGUUUAAAGGGUGCGUAGGCGGCCUUUUAAGUCAGCGGUGAAAGUCUGUGGCUCAACCAUAGAAUUGCCGUUGAAACUGGGGGGCUUGAGUAUGUUUGAGGCAGGCGGAAUGCGUGGUGUAGCGGUGAAAUGCAUAGAUAUCACGCAGAACCCCGAUUGCGAAGGCAGCCUGCCAAGCCAUGACUGACACUGAUGCUCGAAAGGGUGGGUAUCGA